rnacentral:rRNA from 1 species
AAUGAACGCUGGCGGCAUGCCUAACACAUGCAAGUCGAACGACACCUCCGGGUCAAGUGGCGCUCGGGUGCGUCACGCGUGGGACUCUGGCCGUGGGCUCGGCAUAACAGUUAGAAAUUACUGCUAAUACCGGGUGAUGUCUUCGAACCCAACAUUCAUCCCCCUGGGGUGAGCCGGCGUAGUAUUCGCUGGUUGGGGGGGUAAUGGCCGACCAAGGCGUCGAUCCUUAGCGGGGCAGAGAGGAUGGGCACCGACACUGGGGCUGGGACACGGCCCGGACUCCUGCGGGAUGCAGCAAUGGGGAAUACUGGACUAUGGGCUCAAGCCUGAGGCAGCAAUGCUGCGAGAGCCCUUUAGGCCUUAGGGAUGUGAAGCACUUUUACCCGGGAUGAUAAUGACAGUACCGGGAGAAUAAGCUCCGGCUAACUUCGUG